CAGGAACCAGCUGGCUCUCCAUCAGGACCAGCUGCUAAUGGUAAUAGAAGUAUAAAGUUUGCACAUCUUGUAACCCAUCCCUACUAUGGUACACCUGCUGAAUCCAAGGUAUUUCUAGGUGUAUUUACUUUCCAUUUAGCAAUUGAUUCAAUAGGUCUAUUCCACUUUGUUGUUGUGUGCCUUUUAUUUAUUUCGUGUCAAAAGCAUUGCAUAACAAAUACAUUUUUAAAAAUGAUGAAAAAAAAUAGAGGAAAUCACAAAACAACUAAUAGUUUUAGACCAAAAGCGGGCAACAGCAACUGCAUUGUCCGUAGCUUUAAGCAACUCCUCCUCUGUACAUGAGGUAGGACAUUGUGGACAAACAUACAUAUGCGGAGUUGUUUGUUCUGCUCCACAGUCACACAAGGUGGAGGAUUCCUCCAGGUAGUGCCACCUCGCCAAGUUGUCUUUAGAUCUGCCCACUCCACUUCUGAGUCUGUUCAGGGACUUCCAAGUUGCCCAUUCUUGGUUUGCCCCGGGAAGAAGACCCUCGUGGGGGCCAUCCAGUUGGAAUUGCCAGGUUUAGCUGCCCAGAGGGACACCCUUGCUGCUGCUGGAGGAACAUCAAGAGGAGUGGUGGUUCUCAUGAAGCCCUUCUUUGAUUUGAGUCUGGUGGGAGGAGGCUGCUGUGCCUUAAAGUAGCUUACGACUAUGGUAACCCUAAGAUGAACCUAUCACAGGACUUUCUGGAGUGGUUCUCAACCUGGGGUCUCCAGAUGUUUUUGGCCUUCAGCUCCCAGAAAUCCUAAUAGCUGGUAAACUGGCUGGUAUUUCUGGGAGUUGUAGGCCAAAAACAGCUGGGGACCCCAGGUUGAGAACCACUGGCUUACUGGGACUGAGAGUGUGUGACUCACCAAGGUCACCAAGUGGGUUUCAAUGUCUGAGUGGGAAAUCAAAUCUUGGUCCCCAGAAUUUUAGUCUUAUACUCAAAUUGCUACACAAUGCUGGAUGUUCUAUCACUGACUAGAAAAUCUUAAGGAUAUGAAUCCUGCUUUCAAGCACUUUUAUUUCCCCUGCAAUGAAUCAGGAUUACAAAAUGCAGUGUGUGCUGUUUUGAAUGGAAAUCUUACAACUCUGCCUAAUUUUGCUUCCAUCAACAAAAAGCAAGGAUUGCAUACUAACCUGAAUAUGUGUUUUCCUUAAAAGACUUCUUAAACACAGUGCAAGUGUUUUGAUAUGGUUUGAGUAGCAUGUUCUGGUUUUUUAUUGUUUCCAACAACUACUUAUGGAACAUUUGUUAUGAUUGAGCCUCAUGGCUCUGCUUCUGGCAGACGUGGACGUAAGACUCCUCGAGAGUCAGAUACUCUCGAGGAGCGAGAAAGAAAAAGGCUGCGAGAUAUCUUUGCAGAACCAUCUGACGAAGAAUCUUUUAAGGGGUUCACGGAGAGAAUGGAGAAAGAGCUGGUUAGCUCGGAAGAGGAUGAGAUGGAUUGGACUCGGGUAAGGGAGGAGUUGGGUGCCACUGGCAAUAAUGGGAUGGAAGAUGAAUGGGGACCUUCAGGAUUAGACCCAUGGACAAGCUGGAGGGAUGGGACGGGAUCCACAGCUGGGGAUGCUGUGGGGCGUAGUCAGAGGUGUUCCAGCUCUGAUGAGGAAAGUGAUGAGGAAACGCCCGGGUUAAGGAGGGCAGCUGAUAGUGAUGAGGAUUUGUAACUGGCAUAAAAUGAGGCUUGGGAGCAAUUGCAAAUUGCGUUGGGCAAGGUAAUCUGGACGAACGCUUGGGAUCUGUGUGGGACGCUUUCCUGAAGACUGGUGUGUUUUCGUGUGCUGAUACCUUUGACCUUCCGUCGUCUUCUUGACGGACGCCAUCUGCUACUCUGGAUUUACGGACUGAAAACUGACUACGGGCUCGCUUUCUCCUAUUGGACUUGGAAAACUGCAAACGUCUGAUUCUGCCUCUCGACCUACGGAACGAACUGGGACUACGCUACUGCUUCAAUCCUUGGCUGCUGAGUUUGUAUUGGAAAUUUGCCUUGCUGUGUGAAGGAGUGACUCCUAGUUACUCAAAACAUAGUGCUGGCAGCAGAGAGGCAUCUGCUGCCAAUUAGUUGCAUUCUUUUGAACUCUUUGUUUCCCAGCUUCUGUUUGUUUUUCCCCAGGCUGAAGCAAGCUGUUUUGAUUUUACCCGGAUUAAACUCCGGUUUAAUCCGGUUUAUCUUUUGAACGUUUUUCUUGCCCCUUUUUGUUUUUAAAGGCUAAAGUUGCCUUGCCCUUGUCUUUUACGGGCAUUUUGAGUUCUGUAAAUCCAAUAAACUCUGUUAUCUUUGAUCUUG